GAAAAGGCAGCAAUUACAUUUUUAUAGUUUAAUAGUUGUGUUCAAAGUCACAACCUUUCAUUCUCUCUCGUCAUAACAUUGUGUCACGUUCUUCACCUCUCCAUUAUCUUUUCAUCUUUUUUUGUGUUCUUCUCUCAGGGAAUACAAAGCCAUGUUCAUCUUCUUCCAUGGCAAUCAGGCAACACAUCAGAUUCCAAUCAAAUUAUCUCCCUACCAUUUGCCACCGCUUUUAGUUCCAAAACUGAAGAGGUAUGGAAGAUGUGCACUUCCCUGAACCUUUAUUGUGGGGAAAUUUUUGGAUCUCUGAAUUUUAUUGAUGGAAAUGUACGGUUAUGGAUGCGCUUAUGUUCGCCCUGGUGCUGCAAGGGAGCUAGCCACAACGAUGCAUCAAGAUGUAGCUGCUGGUUAACCAUAUGUAUGACCAAUGUGUAACUGAUAUACUAUCUGAUAAAAUGAUAUUAAUUUGGUUGAUAUUUCUAAUGAUUCGUAAGUGUUAUAUUAACGUCUUAGAUGUCUUUUCGACAAUGUUUUUGUAAGUGGAUCAUGUGUAUAGAAGAUUCUCAAAAUAGUGUGCCGUCUAAUA